rnacentral:pre_miRNA from 1 species
AUCAUCUGGGGAUCUUGUUAAACUGCAGCUUCUGAGUUGGCAGGUCUGGGCUGGGGCCUGCGGUCCUGCAUUUCUAACAAGUUCCCAGGUCAU